ensembl:lncRNA MYO18B-AS1 MYO18B antisense RNA 1
CACCAACAGGAAGAGGAACCAGGAUCAGUCCACUUAGAUGUACUGACUGCAUCAUUUAGUCCUCAGCACAAGGGGGCGAUCUUAUCACCAACCUACGGAUAAGGAAUCUGGCUGGGAAGGACUGAAUGACCUGCUCAAGGUCACACAUCUAGAAAGAGGCACCUUUAGGACUUGAAUGAGAUGACUUUUAUAUCAAUGCCUGGGCUCCUAAUCGCCAUGCUGUCUUGACCGUCUGCAACAAACCCUUCACUCGACAAAUGGGGAUGUUAAGGCCCAGAAAGGCAAAGAAAGUUCCCCAAGGUCACAAGAUCAAUUGGCCACAUAGUUGAGGCUGGCUAAGAGAAAAGAAUAAUUUCUUGCUGGAUUCUUGGGAGAACCAUACAGGAAUAAGCUCAUGGUUUCGACUUUGUUGGUUCUCUAGCAGGACGCAGGUAUCCUCAAGGUCACAGCUCUUUCCUGGCUGUCAGCUCCGAGUCCAGCCUCUCCUCGCAUUGCUGCAGACGCUUUCUGAGGAACUCGUUCUCCAUCUGAGCACAGUCGAAGCGCAUCUGCCACUCGUCUGCUGUUUAACGGAGUCAGGGAGACCAGGAUAAGAGGCCAAAUGAGUACCCCUGAUCUCCAUUCCCCUGGACAUCUCAAGGGCACAAAUUCUCUGGACACACGGAGGGAAUAAUGCUGACAUUUUAUAGAAGCUGACCCACUGGAUAUCCUUCUCACCCAACUCCAUUAGGCUGGGGAGAGUAAGAGGCACGGUGACAAGGUGGCAAAGAUGUCACCAUGCCAUCCAAUCACGAGGUCUCCAGGAAACUGU